rnacentral:rRNA from 1 species
UACGUAGGGUGCGAGCGUUGUCCGGAAUUAUCGGGCGUAAAGAGCUCGUAGGCGGUGUGUCGCGUCGGUCGUGAAAACUUGGGGCUUAACCCUGAGCUUGCGGUCGAUACGGGCAUCACUGGAGUUCGGCAGGGGAGACUGGAAUUCCUGGUGUAGCGGUGAAAUGUGCAGAUAUCAGGAGGAACACCGGUGGCGAAGGCGGGUCUCUGGGCCGAUACUGACGCUGAGGAGCGAAAGCGUGGGGAGCGAACAGG